UAUGAACGCUGGCGGCGUGCUUAACACAUGCAAGUCGAACGAAGCACUUUGAUAAGCUUGCUUAGAGAAGUGACUGAGUGGCGGACGGGUGAGUAACGCGUGGGUAACCUGCCUCACACAGGGGGAUAACAGUUAGAAAUGACUGCUAAUACCGCAUAAAAUGGCAGUUUCGCAUGAAACAACCAUCAAAGAUUUAUCGGUGUGAGAUGGACCCGCGUCUGAUUAGCUAGUUGGUAAGGUAACGGCUUACCAAGGCGACGAUCAGUAGCCGACCUGAGAGGGUGACCGGCCACAUUGGGACUGAGACACGGCCCAA
rnacentral:rRNA from 1 species